GGUCCGCUGGCGUAAUGGCAGCGCGUCUGACUACGAUGUUACAUUGUGCAAUCAGGAGGUUCCAGGUUCGACCCCUGGGCGGAUCG
rnacentral:tRNA from 1 species